rnacentral:rRNA from 1 species
UGGCGACGAGGUGAGUAAGCACGUGAGUAACCUGCCCUUGACUCUAGAGGAUAAGCAUGGGAAACUGGGUCUAAUACCGGAUAUGACCUUCCAUCGCAUGGUGGUUGGUGGAAAGCUUUUGUGGUUUUAGGAUGGACUCGCGGCCUAUCAGCUUGUGGGUGGGGUAAUGGCCUACCAAGGCGACGACGGGUAGCCGGCCUGAGAGGGUGACCGGCCACACUGGGACUGAGACACGGCCCAGACUCCUACGGGAGGCAGCAGUGGGGAAUAUGGCACAAUGGGCGGAAGCCUGAUGCAGCGACGCCGCGUGAGGGAUGACGGCCUUCGGGUUGUAAACCUCUUGCAGUAGGGAAGAAGCGAGAGUGACGGUACCUGCAGAAGAGGCGCCGGCUAACUACGUGCCAGCAGCCGCGGUAAUACGUAGGGCGCAAGCGUUAUCCGGAAUUAUUGGGCGUAAAGAGCUCGUAGGCGGUUUGUCGCGUHUAGACCGUGAAAGUACCGGGGCUCAACUCCGGAUGCUGCGGUGGGUACGGGCAGACUAGAGUGAUGUAGAGGGAGACUGGAAUUCCUGGUGUAGCGGUGAAAUGCGUCAGAUAUCAGGAGGAACACCGAUGGCGAAGGCAGGUCUCUGGGCAUUAACUGACGCUGAGGAGCGAAAGCAUGGGGAGCGAACAGGAUUAGAUACCCUGGUAGUCCAUGCCGUAAACGAUUGGGCACUAGGUGUGGGGGACAUUCCACGUUUUCCGCGCCGUAGCUAACGCAUUAAGUGCCCCGCCUGGGGAGUACGGCCGCAAGGCUAAAACUCAAAGGAAUAGACGGGGGCCCGCACAAGCGGCGGAGCAUGCGGAUUAAUUCGAUGCAACGCGAAGAACCUUACCAAGGCUUGACAUGAACCGGACCGGGCUGGAAACAGUCUUUCCCCUUGUGGGCUGGUUUACAGGUGGUGCAUGGUUGUCGUCAGCUCGUGUCGUGAGAUGUUGGGUUAAGUCCCGCAACGAGCGCAACCCUCGUUCUAUGUUGCCAGCACGUGAUGGUGGGGACUCAUAGGAGACUGCCGGGGUCAACUCGGAGGAAGGUGGGGACGACGUCAAAUCAUCAUGCCCCUUAUGUCUUGGGCUUCACGCAUGCUACAAUGGCCGGUACAAAGGGUUGCGAUACUGUGAGGUGGAGCUAAUCCCAAUAAAGCCGGUCUCAGUUCGGAUUGGGGUCUGCAACUCGACCCCAUGAAGUCGGAGUCGCUAGUAAUCGCAGAUCAGCAACGCUGCGGUGAAUACGUUCCCGGGCUCGUACA